rnacentral:rRNA from 1 species
GGGUUGUGAGGUUAAGCGACUAAGCGUACACGGUGGAUGCCCAGGCAGUCAGAGGCGAUGAAGGACGUGCUAAUCUGCGUAAAGCGACGGUAAGGUGAUAUGAACCGCUACAGCCGUCGAUGUCCGAAUGGGGAAACCCGGUGCACUCUGUGCAUCAUUGCAGCAUGAAUACAUAGUGCUGCAAGGCGAACCGGGGGAACUGAAACAUCUAAGUACCCCGAGGAAAAGAAAUCAACCGAGAUUCCCCCAGUAGCGGCGAGCGAACGGGGAGCAGCCCAGAGCCUGAAUCAGUUUGUGUGUUAGUGGAAGCGUCUGGAAAGUCGCAGGGUACAGGGUGAUACUCCCGUACACAAAAGCACACAUGCUGUGAGCUCGAUGAGUAAGGCGGGACACGUGGUAUCCUGUCUGAAUAUGGGGGGACCAUCCUCCAAGGCUAAAUACUCCUGACUGACCGAUAGUGAACCAGUACCGUGAGGGAAAGGCGAAAAGAACCCCGGCGAGGGGAGUGAAACAGAACCUGAAACCGUGUACGUACAAGCAGUGGGAGCCUUCUUUAUGGGGGUGACUGCGUACCUUUUGUAUAAUGGGUCAGCGACUUAUAUUCUGUAGCAAGGUUAACCGUAUAGGGGAGCCGCAGGGAAACCGAGUCUUAACUGGGCGUUAAGUUGCAGGGUAUAGACCCGAAACCCGGUGAUCUAGCCAUGGGCAGGUUGAAGGUUGGGUAACACUAACUGGAGGACCGAACCGACUAAUGUUGAAAAAUUAGCGGAUGACCUGUGGCUGGGGGUGAAAGGCCAAUCAAACCGGGAGAUAGCUGGUUCUCCCCGAAAGCUAUUUAGGUAGCGCCUCGUGAACUCAUCUUCGGGGGUAGAGCACUGUUUCGGCUAGGGGGCCAUCCCGGCUUACCAACCCGAUGCAAACUGCGAAUACCGAAGAAUGUUAUCACGGGAGACACACGGCGGGUGCUAACGUCCGUCGUGAAGAGGGAAACAACCCAGACCGCCAGCUAAGGUCCCAAAGUCAUGGUUAAGUGGGAAACGAUGUGGGAAGGCACAGACAGCCAGGAUGUUGGCUUAGAAGCAGCCAUCAUUUAAAGAAAGCGUAAUAGCUCACUGGUCGAGUCGGCCUGCGCGGAAGAUGUAACGGGGCUAAACCAUGCACCGAAGCUGCGGCAGCGACACUAUGUGUUGUUGGGUAGGGGAGCGUUCUGUAAGCCGUCGAAGGUGUGCUGUGAGGCAUGCUGGAGGUAUCAGAAGUGCGAAUGCUGACAUAAGUAACGAUAAAGCGGGUGAAAAGCCCGCUCGCCGGAAGACCAAGGGUUCCUGUUCAACGUUAAUCGGAGCAGGGUGAGUCGACCCCUAAGGCGAGGCCGAAAGGCGUAGUCGAUGGGAAACAGGUUAAUAUUCCUGUACUCGGUGUUACUGCGAAGGGGGGACGGAGAAGGCUAUAUCAGCCGGGCGACGGUUGUCCCGGUUUAAGCGUGUAGGCGGAG